rnacentral:rRNA from 1 species
UACGUAGGGUGCAAGCGUUAUCCGGAAUUAUUGGGCGUAAAGAGCUCGUAGGCGGUUUGUCGCGUCUGCUGUGAAAACUGGAGGCUCAACCUCCAGCCUGCAGUGGGUACGGGCAAACUAGAGUGCGGUAGGGGGAGAUUGGAAUUCCUGGUGUAGCGGUGGAAUGCGCAGAUAUCAGGAGGAACACCGAUGGCGAAGGCAGAUCUCUGGGCCGUAACUGACGCUGAGGAGCGAAAGCGUGGGGGAGCGAACAGG